AAGAACUGGAUCCUUGAAGGGCUGAGGAACCACUAGACCCCUGGACAGAACAGUGAUGAGCCAGGUCAGGGGAGCAAGAGGGUGUUCCAGCCUGACUGGCUGAAAGACUGAAGCCUGGAUACAAGGGCAGAGAAGGUGCUAGGGCUAUGGGGAAGUGGCCUAGGGAAACAGACGGUGGGGGCUGAAGGAGAUGCAGCAUGUGGCUGCCGCCUAGAAGGUCCCUGGGUCGGGAACUGGGGCAGUAGGGGGCCCGGGUCUGCUUCUGCCCCCACUUGCAACUGAGGGGAAUGACCAGUGAAGGGCUGCAGUUUGCCACUGAGACAAGUGGUUAGAACCUUGGACUGCAGUCGGCCACAGAGGCAAAUGGCUGGACAGAUGACUGCUGCUCCCCCGGGGGGAGGGAAGGGGCGAGAACAGAAUGGGGCAUGGCCAGAGGGCUGUGUCCUGAAGAGGAUGCUGCAAUCCUUGAGGUGACAUGGGUCUGAAGCAGAAGUGAUGGCAGGCGAUACACCACCGGAGGAGGGUGCCCUGCAAAAAGACUGAGCUAAUUCCCAGGACAACCAGCAGGAGGUGCCACAGUGGGUCAGCAAACAUUGGAUCCUGGGCCAUCAAGAUAAGCCGCAGAUGGGCUGGGAUGGUUUGUUUACCCUGAGCGUCCACAGGAACACAGGAGCAUGCUUUAGACUGAAUGAGCAAAAUGUGCAACUGGAUGAGACAGUAAGAUCAAGAAUAUCUGUGAAAAUGGUUAAUACAUUAGAUAGGUUAGCUGCACUAGAAGGAAAACUGGGACACGAGAGAAGAAUACACUGAAGAAUGAACAGCAGUUCUUUACACUGUACAAUGCAUAGCUAUAACAGGAAGCAGUUCACAUCUUGACUUUGAAGAGGACAUAAUUGGAGAUCUUAAAUGUAGGAUCAUCAUAAGCCAAAGAAAAUGUUCUCUUUACCUUACUAGCAAAAAGGAAAAGGUUCUUAAUAUUUAUUCAGAGUUGUGAAACUGAAAAGUUUCACAUAAAAGCGCUAUUAUUAGAUGCCUCUGCCACCAAGCUCCACAAUAGGAGAGAACUUGGCACCACAGUAUUGUAUGGGGUAGGGACAAAUUCCACAGGAGAGAAGCUCUGUCAAUAGUGGAAAGCUAAACACACUUUGUAUUUAUAUUUUGAAGUGCAGAGCACAAGAACUGACACUCCACAAGUCAUAACCUGCUGUCCUAAUGAGCCAGCAGGGGUCACAUAGCAGACACAUACACUUCUACUACAUGCACCAGUCUAAGCACAUGUAUUAACCAAGUAAUUAACAGCAGGAAGGCCCAAACUCACUCUUCAGAAACAAAACUAUUCUUUAAAAGACUAUGCUCAGCAGGCGGCCAAAACAAAGCUUGUGUUCAGCAGUGGUUGAGCACCACUGUUUCAAUCUCAAACAUUUGAGAGUUGCAACAUGUUCUUCCAGACAUGAACCUUGCCGUGACAACCCAAAUCUUUGUGAUCUUUUAGCCAAGUCACUGAGUAUCCUCUAUUUGAAGCUACUCUUGCAAGCUAGUCUUAGGAAAAAAAGGCUAUUAAGGAAUGUGGCUACACAACUAUCCAAAAGCCUCCACCCACAAUAGUCUGGGAUGAACACUGCUUGCUUAUUACCCAGGAACUGAAUUUUGACAUUAAAUAUUACUGGGGGACUUCCGAUUGUCUAAGUAGGCCCUUUCAGAAUGUUUUUUUCCUUGAAACUGAAGAAAUGUUUUUGAAUAGAACUCAUUAUUGGCCAUAAAUAUGUUUUCUCCUUUGGUUUGCUGAUGGGGAAGAUAUUUGUUUAAUGCUGGGGUGAAAUUUGAAGGUUACAUCCGUAUGCAGUUUCAAGGAUGGAUUUUGAGAUAUGUUGCCAUUUUCUUCAGUUCCAGUUUGUUAGCUGGUCAGAAACCAAGAGUUGCAAGUGCCAUAUAAAUUUAAUUCUUGUAAAAUAGUUCUAUUACUACAUAAUUAAGGGGAUGUACACUAAACAUUACACUCAUGGAAGUAGAUUAGAGCUUAGCAGCAGCUACUCAAUGGAGCCUCCUCCUUCUGCCAUCCCAUGAACGAAAAGGUCUUGCUGGACUGAUUGAGGAGCAAGCUCAAAGAUAAGGCUGCAGAUCAACAGACCUUAUUGAGGGCUUUGAGAUAGGCUCAGUUGGACUUGUCCCCUGGAAGGGGUUUGCUUUGUUUUUAUUUCACAUACAGAUUGUGUGAGAUUUGGCCAGAGGGCUGAGUCAGCAAAGACCCACCACAACCCAGUAGAGGGAGCGUAUAGGCACACGCACUUGGCCACAGGGCACUCGCAAGAUGUGAGUGUGACCCCAUUACACCUACAUUUAAAGAAUGUUAAUUUUUUUCCAUGUCAAGCACUCAAAAGUUAAGAAAUGCCAGAAUUAAGGUUGCCCAUGUUUUUAGAUGGCUCAGAUUGCGCAUUGGGGUGGGCGAUUUAGACUCGUGGAGCAGAUGCCUGAUAAGGUUUGGAGGGCCGUUGGAAGAUGUGUAGGGAAUGAGGCAGGGUAUUGCAGGAAGAGAAGGGAUGGUUUCAUGGGUAAGUAAUUGAAUGAUGCCCUAGAGAACUGAAUGCUAUCCCUGCAUCUGUCAGCGAGCUCUUAUGUGAUGCUAGUCCAUGGGAGGAAAACAUUUUGGCCUGAGGGCCAUAUCUGGGUAUGGAAAUUGUAUGGCAGGCCAUGAAUGAUCAUG